GAGGUUGUAGCUCAGUGGUAGAGCACUUGCCUCGAAUGCAUGAAGCCCAGGGUCUGAUCCCCAGCACCACA
rnacentral:tRNA from 1 species